GAGUUUGAUCGUGGCUCAGAUUGAACGCUGGCGGCAUGCCUUACACAUGCAAGUCGAACGGCAGCACGGGAGCUUGCUCCUGGUGGCGAGUGGCGAACGGGUGAGUAAUGCAUCGGAACGUAUCCUGGAGUGGGGGAUAACGUAGCGAAAGUUACGCUAAUACCGCAUAUUCUGUGAGCAGGAAAGCGGGGGACCUUCGGGCCUCGCGCUCUUGGAGCGGCCGAUGUCGGAUUAGCUAGUUGGUGAGGUAAAGGCUCACCAAGGCGACGAUCCGUAGCAGGUCUGAGAGGAUGAUCUGCCACACUGGAACUGAGACACGGUCCAGACUCCUACGGGAGGCAGCAGUGGGAAUUUGGACAAUGGGGGCAACCCUGAUCCAGCCAUGCCGCGUGA
rnacentral:rRNA from 1 species